CCUUCCCUCGAUGCUUGCAACGCCUCGCACGGCUUCAUCAGCGGCGCGGGUUUGAAGUGUACUCGUUUUUCUGCGUGAAAUCGACGGUGCAAGUUCGUUUCGCUCUUGGUGCUUCCUGUGCGCGAGACUGGUGGACUCUUAUUGUUGUGCGUGUGGUGCGUGAUCUACCGGAUAGCCCGCAAAGCCCGCAAAGCCUGAAGCGAUCGCCGCUGUCCGUCUUUUCAACAAGUUGGCUAGGCCUAAUUUGCUCGGUAUCCCAGGCUGCGACGAGAAAGUAUCGUUGUGCGAAGGGGACGUCGAAAACUUAUUCCAGUGAGAACCGCCCGUGCCUACCAUAUCAAGCGCUGUUUGAAAGGUCACUUGUGCACAGCUCACCAUCGACGGGACUCGGCCUGUCAGCUGUCUAUUUUUUAUCAACGCGACAAGGUUCUACUUCGGCUUGCUCUCGCACUGACCUAACCUGUGAGGGAGGUCCUGCGGAGGACCCCGGGCCGCGGCACUUUCCCGGGAGGGGUGGGAACCCUGCAAGCAGGU